GGCAGGAGAGAGUAAUUGGUAACUUAAUCCGCUCAUAAUCCGAGUGUUUACGGUUCGAAUUCGUAUCCCGCCGCCA
rnacentral:tRNA from 1 species